CCAGGCGGGGAGGAGAAAAGGCGUCUGCAUGGUGAUCUGGGAUGAUGGCAUUGAAGAGUACCUGUGGGGUGAAGGAGAACCAGGAUGUUGUGGAAUAAGCCAGUGAAGAGAAACCACUGAACAGGCAGGAGGCUGGAAGGAACCCUGGGCAGGCAACAGGGGCCGCACCCGCUGGACAGACAGACGGAUGAGGAGAGCGUUCAUCUCACUUUCAGGAGUGGAGCCACAAAGACACAUGGAGGAGGCCAUCGGCAUGGAGGAAGCAGGUCACUAUAUUAGCCAAGACUAGACUUUUGUCAGAAAUGGAAGAAGGGAGUUGCAUGUCUGCACAGGAAUGAUCACCACGAAGGAAGACUCAGCGGGGGAAGACGAAGCUGAAGGCUGAUGGGUGAAGGCCACAGGAACACCGUGGGUUCCAGGGCUACAAAGCCCGAAAACGAGAUGCAGGAGCAGACUCUCUGGCAGGUGCUGGCUCUGGAGCACCACCGUGGAGUGGUGAAGACAAGGUCCCUGACAGGAACUGUGGAACUGUGACAUGAGGCUGAGGGUGCUGAACGUAUCAUCCUCUUCAUAGGGAAACCAGAGACAUCAACAGAAGCAGUGCCAGGAAGAGCGUCAGUGAGACGGGAGUUCAAACCUCCAGAGAACCACUAUCAUCGGCAGACGGCAGCACCAGUGGAGGGUAGCUAGGGACAGAAGCUGAUAGCUGAGCUUGGGAGCUGGAAGGGGUUAUAUGUCUUUCUGCCUCAUUAGGUUGUCAGUUACUUGAGGAAAAACAUGACCUUUCACUCACAAUUUAGCACAGUUUUGGGAAUAGGUAUUCACUAUAAUUUUGGUGGCUGAGCUUCAGGGAUCUGAGGAAAUCUACUGUUUCCAAAAUCACACUGAACGAGAACGCAGCUGUCCUGGCUCCUCCCCCAGAUGCUGACCUGCCUCACUCCGCUCUCGGUUCUGCCAGGAACUCAGCUGACGCUGGUUCAGAGCCAUCACUGAGGCAGGCUCUCCAGCCUAGCAACGCUUUUGAGUGCAGCUCACUUAAAGGCCCAUUCUCUUCUUGGUCAAUUUCUUUCUUUCUUUUUAUUUUUGGUUUUUCAAGACAGGGUUUUUCUGUGUAGACCUAGCUGCCCUGGAACU